UUUUUUUUUUUUUUUUGGUCUUUUUAGGGCUGCACCCGCAGCAUAUGGAGGUUCCCAAGCUAGGGGUCCAACCUGCAGUCACGGCCUAUACCACAGCCACAACAACGUGGGAUCCAAGCCUUGUCUGUGACCUACAUCAUAGCUCACAGCAUCGCUGGAUCCUUAACCCACUGAGCAAGGCCAGGGAUUGAAUCCAUAUCCUCAUGGACACUAGUCAGGUUCGUUAACAACUGAGGCACAAUGGGAACUUUAAGUCUCCAGCACUUUAAAUCUUGAUCUUGGUGAUUUGUAAUAAAAAUAAUUAAAUACCCAAAAUGACAUGAUUCAGAUGUUUCCAACUUGGGAUGAUGUUCUUUGUUAAAAGGAGAAAAACAACUUUAAAAAAAUUAGACUGUGCUCAUCUUAUUUGAGCUCAUUACACUCAGAACAUCUCAUUUCCAUGAUACCCUUGGGUACCCACCAUCCUAUUUAAGCUUUAAGGAAGAAACAUGAGGUCCAGGAAACUAAACAUUAUAAAAGCAAGCUGGACACCACUUGCUAAAAAUAUGUUAAGUUUCCACCUAAUAUCUUUACUCAGUGGUACCACAGCACUCCACAACAAAUAUUUCCUGAUCAGAAGUUAAUGCGAAACAAACAAACUCCCUAAGGAAAGGCAAAUACCUCUUUUCCCGGGACCAAAUAUGAUGAUGGGUCUAACAAAUAAGCACUUUCACCGUGGUAAAAAAGCUAAUCUGCAGCGAUUCUCUACCUGGAAUCCUAAGGAAGGAGCCCAAAGAUGAGUCCAGCAGAGUAUGAUGCUGGAAAAGGCAAAGACUCUGGAAUGAAUUUGCUUGGGCUUAAAUCCCAUUUACCAGCUGUAUGACCUCUGGCGGACUGUUUAACCUCUAUUUCUGUACCUCAGUUUCCUCAACUAUAAAAUGAAGAUAAUAGAAUCCAGCUCAUACCACUGUGGAAAGAGGAAUGGUCCAAUACCUGUAAAACCCACAGAACAAUACCUCGCACACGAAAUAUUCUAUUUCAACAUCGUCUUCUGCAAAACCUGCAGAUGGAUAUCCUAAGAAAAAGCAAGAUUUUAAAUUUUACCCUCAUAUUCUUAUCUUUCUUCCAUGGUUUUGAAACUAGUGAAAGAAGACUCUGGCGGGACUCAGUCAGAAGAAAGACAACUAUCUCUGUCCCAACUUCUGGAAUAUUGUCAUCCAAUAUUAACUUAGUGCUCUGCUCACUGGAGGCAUCACAUCCACUUUUCCUAAGGGAAAUCAAAGCUGGUUCUGCUUCCUUCACCUGUCUCAGAAGGAAAGAGUCCAUCAGUGCUGCAAUUCUUAGGAUGAUGCCUUACUUGAGGUGAAAGGAUCUAGGCUGCUUGGUUCUGUCUUUGCACAGAUUUGCAAAAAUCGCCCAGAGGAAUAUGCAUUUUGCUGCUUUUUCAUAUCCUUUUCACCCCACAAAUUCUCUUGUCCACAUGUUGUUGAUUAUUCUCUUACAGCUGCACUCUACUCCUGUACCAUGCUACUGUGAUUUUUUUUGCCUCAUUCAAGAUACAAAGCCUCUUGAACCCCUCAAUGGAAUUUUUUUCUUCUCAGACAAAGAAAAUCUGCUUCAUUCAUAUUAUUUGUCCCCUCGUUCUUUUUCCCACCAUGGCAGUCUAUCUAAAGUAAAUAUAGUUCUCAUAAGGACAUUUCUGGGCAGGGGACAGAGAUAAAGGGUGAUUUUUAAAAUGCCACAAACAUUUUACAAUGUCUGUGCAAAGCCCUCAUCGUAAACAUCAAGGUGGUGUGUUUUGAAAGUCUUGACAUGUAGCCUCACAACACCGUUGUAGAUUUAUUUACUUGUUACCAAGGCUGCCACUUAAGUCCGUAAGAGACUGGGCUGAAGCCAUACACUAUGUCACAGUGGGUCAUUUUCACUCCAACCUCAUCAUCAGCAUUCUUCAUCUGACAAUCAACUGCACCAAGGAAGAGUUUACAGGGAGACAUAACUGCCCUCCUCCCUAGUAUAAAAAUUAAAAUACCAACUGCUGCAAACUCGAGAAACUCAAAGGUAAGCAACUCUUCCCCGUGCAGUGAUUCUUAAACUUGAAUGUACAUCAGAAUCUUGGGAGGGCCUAUUAAGACACAGAUUGCUGGCUUCCUUCUACUCCCAAGAAAUCAAGAUCAGGCCUUGAAAUCUGGUAUUUCAAACAAGAUCCCAGGUGAGGCUGAUACUGUUAGUCUAAGGACCACACUUGGAGAACCACUACCCUGUGUAAAGGGAUGGAACCCAGAGAUGCUACAAUUCAAGACGCGAGCAAUGUGAUGACGGAAUCUGCACAGUUCUUGACAACAACCCAGGUCUGUCACCAUCCAUGUAACUGGGAGCCCAUGAUCCAACAAGGAAUAAAAGGAAUAGAUCAGGAAUGUGAUUGAAAUCAUCAUUAAAGGUAUUAUCGGAUUAUCAUGGCAACUCUUUACUUACUUUUGGAAAGUAGGGACCAAAAUGACACUUCAAAUCCACCCUCAACUCAGAAUUUCAGAGCCACACUGGGAACCAAGUCAGGUAAUUCUCUGACAUGCUGCAGAAGUCAAAAAUGAGCUCUAAUUCAACAGCAAAGGUAUGGGAGGUUUGAUACGAUGAAGACUGAAAGCUCUGACUCCCCACGGAGGACACUUGCGACAUGGCUGUGGUUUGUGAAAAUCCAUCUAGGGUAAAUUACGGGGUUGAGUGUUGGAUGUUGGGUGUGUGUUGUGGUUUCCACCUCCAUGCAUCAUCCAAACUCCCAUCUCCUUCCCUCCUAGUUCCCUAUUUAAUACGGUAUCACUGGAAAACAAAAUUUAAAGAGCUCUGAAAAAUGUUAACAGCCUCAAAAAGCAGAGUGAGUGCCGCUGUGUUAAGAGUCCUCCCUAGGACUGUGAGAUACUGAGUUUAAUUAGCUAACCGCUGGUACUGGCCAUGCCUGGGCAGACAGGGAUUGAUUUUUUUGACUGCAAGUUUUCAGGCUGUUAUAACUAUCAACAACUAAAGGGACUUUUCUUUAUGAACAGAGGAAAGAGAGAGAUGCCAGGACACUCAAAGUUUCCAGAAAAGCCGUCAGUCAUUACAAGGAAGCCAAUCCAGUGAGUCGUGAUAUACUGGUGGGUAUCAGGGGCUCCUGGAUGAGCCCCUCAAAGUCAUAUGCAGUUUGCAGAGGGGGAUCACAUAUAACAAUUAGCAGUGUCUAUUCAAGAGUUAUCUCCAGUUGGUGCCAUUCAGAGUAAAUUGCCAAUAGAAAACAGUGCACAGUACAUCAGCAGUUUCGACUACAGUAUUCCAAGCAAAGCAAUUCCUAAGGAGAGCCAUGAAAUGCAGCCAUUUAUAAUUCUGCUGAGACACAGAUCUGAUUAUUGCCCACUGUGGGAGGAGCUAGAAACUGCCCACACCAGCACCCACAGCUGAACAUGGCUUUGUCGUUCUCUUUUAUUAGGCAUUAGAAUAACUGUCUCAGAGUGAGCAACCAUUUUUGAGGAAAUGACCACCGAGUGAGAAAGAAAAUGUCAAUGAAAUUUAAAAGGGCGAUUAAUUUACAAUGUGUGUGUCAUCAAGAGUCAACAGAUGAUUCUCUGAAGUACUGUCAAUCUGCAGAAAACCAUUAUUAUGUAUAAAAAUCCUUGCAAUGGAAGACUUAAGAAGAAUUCACAAGGAUUUUCUCUGUUAACAACGUGACUGUUCCUCCGGGCUCUCCAGCAGUGUACCCAGGCCAAGCCGCAAGCAGAGCUGAACUCAAGAGAUAGAAUGUAAACCAGAAAAACGUAACACUGGAAAAGGAAGAUGUUGGUUUGCUUGCCCAAAAGGGACAAGCACUCUGACCAACAGCAAUCAGUGAUACACACAUCGCAUACCCACAAUGAGCCAGAACGCCAAGGUUCAGAAGAAAAAUGCAAGUUCCCUCUCUAGUUGGACAGAUAAGAGAGCUGCACAAAAUAAGCAAUAACAUAAGAUAAAAUUUCAUUAAGUAAUGAAAUGAGUUCACAGUCAGUGCUACAGGAGAACAGAUAAGGAAGCCAUCAAGGGGGACAGAAGUAGACAGAAAAGCCCUUCCAUUAUCAGCCAAAAUAAGUUAUCUGGUCCCCAUGCAGGAGACAGUGUGAUAAGACUUGUGUAAACUAGUUAAACAAGAAAUGUACCCUGCCCUCAAGGAAUACAAGCUCUGAGAGAGGUGGUUCGGCACAGACCAGAGCUUAGAGGGUAAGCACAAUAACAAAGCAGGAAUUCUGAGCCACAAAACAGAAAAGAAAGGCUUCCGUAGAGCCUUCUCUAUCAAACUCACUGUGCAAGAAGAAAUAAAUGCACUAUUCUUAACAUAGAUAUUCAGGCUGAGGGUUUAGCUAGGGAAACUGUUCCAAGAGAGGCAACAGUUACAGAUUCUGAUAAACAGUCCACUUUGAUCCCAACAGCCUGGUCUGGUUCAUGUAACAAACAUGACGGAUGGUGAGCACAUUCCAAAGAGCCAAGCCCAUCAUCUCACCCUGUGGCCUCCACGCCUCUCUUCUCUCUCAAGAUACCUGGCUCACCUCCUCACCCCAUUUCAGAUCAUUACUCCAGGGCCAUCUCAGUGACUCUUUCCUUGGCCAGAGAAUCUAAAACUGCACUGCCCACCACCAACAAACACUGCAGCUACUACUCCCUGUGUCCCUUUCUCCCAUGGCACUGACCAGCUUGUAACAUUCUAGAUAUUUUACCUAUUUAUCUUCUUUAUCGAUGGCCUCCGCCACUAGAAUGUUCCUUUGGGUCAGCUAUUGUAUGUUUUCCUUACUGUUGGAUCCUAAGCCUCUAGAACAGCGACUGGCACAAAUCAUACCAAGUAUAAACCUGGUGACUGAAUGAAUAUAUGAAUGAAUGCAUGUUGUAUUAAUACCUGGGGUUUUUUUUUGUUCUGUUUUGUUUUUUUCAGACCGUACACAGUAAACACCUCAUUGUAUACAAAUGCCUUUCAGUUUUUUAUAUUUUAUAGUAUGUAAAUUAAGUCCAUCAAGGUAUUUUGCUUUAUCUGCAGAAAGUUUUGCCCAGCACUAGGCAUCAACAGACACAUACAAGCUUUUGAACAAAAGUUCCAUUUCCCCUCUAUUUGCUUUUAACCAUUCUUUCCCACAGAACCUAGCAGUUCAAUGUAGAAGUGAUAGUUACCACCGCUGACUUCAGCACCUAUACCCUUACCAAUCACCCAUUAAGUGAUAUAUAUUGUUUCAUUACAUUCUUACUUCACUCAGUCCAGAAAUGUUUGCUGGCCCACACUUCAUGCUUUGCAAUGAGGAAACAAUGGUGAGAAAGAAGACAAGAAUCCUUAUCCUGGUAGAGCAGACUCCAGUUCAGGCAGGAUAACAAUAAGUAAGAACCAAAAACUAUGGUAAGUUCCUCUAGGGUAAGUGAGGGGACAGUAUGCACACAGCAGAGAUACCUACUCUAGUUUAGAAAGGAAGGCCAAGAGAAGCAUCAAUCAUACAUAUUUAUCUAAAAGAUAAGUAGGAAUUAAACAAGUAAAAAGAUGAGGGAGUAGGAAAUACUGCAAAAGAGGGAAUAAAAAUGAACGGGAAGGCUCAGAAAGAGAAUCAGAGCCUUUCCAGGAACAGUGCACGGAGGUGCUGGGGACAGCUACCAGACCUGUUAGUGGCUGGAGAAGAGGGCAGAGACCCCACCACAAGGGGCCUUCUGAAUCACUAAUACUUGAGAAUCAGUUCAUGCCUGGAGGCCCUAUGCCCCGAGGCCUGGGCUGGCUGUUAUCAGGGGAGCAGAGCUGAAUCAAACCACCAGAAUUCCCAACCUUUGGCACACUUUCUGCCAGGGAGACUGAAAGACUGAACUGAGGCUGGUGGGGAAGUAAGUGUUUUUUAAAAUACAGAAUUAGAAUAUGUGGGCCAACAUAGCUUCACAAUCUCACCCAGGGGUGUGCCUGACAUUAGGGAGACAGGGCCAAACUUUAGGGUAAGAGAUGACACGAGAAGGAAGGGCUGCUUUGAAAUUCUCCAUCAGGGAUAUAUCCUGAUGUAAUUAUGGCUUACCCACUCGCACCAGCUCCCACCAGGGCAUACUGCUGCCCUGACUUCUAUGCAUUCAGCCUCAGUCUAGUUGCUGAAUCUUAAUUACUACAUUUUCUCAAAAGGCCUGCACUGCUGAUACAGAGGAACUUGGUAUAGGAGCCUUCUCAAAGCUGAUACAGGAAUAGAUAACCCUAACACCCUCAAUGCGGCUGGAAGCACCCUUUCCUGGAGUGAACAGUUAGAAACAAAUUUCCUGUUACAUGUUUAUCUGACUUAUACUGAUUUUAUUUGAAUAUUUCAAAGUACACACUCAAUAACUAGAUACUGAAAUGUCCUUUCAAACAUGAGUUUACAGAAACAUAAGUUAUUAAAGGCAGUAACCCUUAAGUCUAUUUUGGUAAAAAUUAAUUUUUUGUUAACUUUAGAUUUUCAAUAUUCAGAAUUCCAAUGAGGAAAAAAAAAAAAAAGGCUGAGGUACAAUAGCAAAUGUAUGCAGUUACAAAUCAAAAAAGCAUCUAGAGACUCUCAAAGGAGUUCUGAGAAAUUCCAUGUAUGACAAUGUGGUUUAUAGGUACCUAUAAAUAAUAUCUUCUGCUUGUCUAAAGCAGUGGUUCCCAUGGAGCAUGAUGGAGGAUAAUGUGAGAAAAGGAAUGUAUAUAUGUCUAUGACUGGGUCACUUUGCUGUACAGCAGAAACUGACAGAACACUUAAACCAACUACAAUGGAAAAAAAUAAAAAUCAUUAAAAAAGAUAAAACAGUGGUUCCCAAAACUUGCUAGGGUUCAGGGGCAACCAGGAGAACUAGCUGAAAAUGAAGAUUCUCAGGUCCUACCAGGAGAUGUUCUCAUUCCGUGGGCCUAGGGUGAGGUUCUAAUAUUAGCAUUUUUAUAAGUGCCACAGGAAAUGCUGGAGCUGACAAUCUAACCUCUAAACUCACCAUGACCUGGAAUCAAUAGUCCUUAAAACCAGUUCACAAUCCAGAGAAGGUAUAAAUUAAUACACUGGAGCACCAGGAAAAAAAAUUAGAGCUUCUAUUUAUAAUUAUUUCUCAUGCGAACCUUAUACAAUUUCUAAUAUACGUUUUAUAACAGUGUAUCUGUACAGUGUGUAAACAGACUGCAUUAUAGGAUCACAACCCUCUUAUGAGGAGGUUAUAAUUCUUAAAACACCAGAGGCCAUGGAGCACUUUUGCCCAGAAUUAUAAAUGAAUAAUACUCCAGUGUCCCAGGGGAAAUGGAAGAAAUAUAGAAUCUAAAGGAUAACACCUUGGUCAGGGGGCAACACAAUGUUCUAAGACACUCUACAGAGAACGGCAAGUCAUAAGGUGAAAAGACCCCCAAAUUACUUCCCAACCUGAGGGAAAGACAAUUGGGAUGCCCAUCUGUCUCAUGUGUAAAAUGAACAGAGUGAACUGCCUUUUCUCUUAAGGGUCCCCAGCACUAACACACCACAGGUUUAUGAAGCCCUUGUGAAGAGACACCCUAAGUAUGGUAAAGAUAGAUGGUACCUGUUAUACCUCACAAAUUCUAAGCAGAGUGACAAAAUCUAGAAAAUGUCUACAAUGUAGGCAUUGAGCCCAUCACUAGAAUCUUAAAGCAUUAGAGCUGCAAUAGCUUCAGGGCCCCCACAUUUUAUAGAAAGGGGAAAUGGCUCAAAGUGGAGACGGGUUCCAACCAAGGAGCCCCAGGCAGCUGGUGGCAAAGCCGCGUCUCCUGACUUUGGGAGCAUAGCCCUUCCGCUUCACCAGUCUCCCUCCUUUCUAAAAUAAAGAGACGUUUUAAGAUGCCAGAGGCCCAGCUUUCUGAAGAUAAAAAAUAAGUUCCAUUCAUUGUUCUCAAAUAUGAUUUAUGUUUGUAACCUUUAGAAAGGCGGGGGGGGGAUGUUCUGGGAUCUGUUUUGCCUCCCU
ensembl:lncRNA